UCGGCUUAGAGUUUGAUCAUGGCUCAGAGCGAACGCUGGCGGCAUGCUUAACACAUGCAAGUCGCACGAAGGUUUCGGCCUUAGUGGCGGACGGGUGAGUAACGCGUAGGAAUCUGUCCACGGGUGGGGGAUAACUUUGGGAAACUGAAGCUAAUACCGCAUGAUACCUGAGGGUCAAAGGCGCAAGUCGCCUGUGGAGGAGCCUGCGUUUGAUUAGCUAGUUGGUGGGGUAAUGGCCUACCAAGGCGAUGAUCAAUAGCUGGUUUGAGAGGAUGAUCAGCCACACUGGGACUGAGACACGGCCCAGACUCCUGCGGGAGGCAGCAGUGGGGAAUAUUGGACAAUGGGGGCAACCCUGAUCCAGCAAUGCCGCGUGUGUGAAGAAGGUUUUCGGAUUGUAAAGCACUUUCGGCGGGGACGAUGAUGACGGUACCCGCAGAAGAAGCCCCGGCUAACUUCGUGCCAGCAGCCGCGGUAAUACGAAGGGGGCUAGCGUUGCUCGGAAUGACUGGGCGUAAAGGGCGUGUAGGCGGUUUGUACAGUCAGAUGUGAAAUCCCCGGGCUUAACCUGGGAGCUGCAUUUGAUACGUGCAGACUAGAGUGUGAGAGGGGGUUGUGGAAUUCCCAGUGUAGAGGUGAAAUUCGUAGAUAUUGGGAAGAACACCGGUGGCGA
rnacentral:rRNA from 1 species